rnacentral:rRNA from 1 species
CACGUAGUUAGCCGGUGCUUAUUCUUCCGGUACCGUCAGUAGUCACGGGUAUUCACCGUAACCGUUUCGUUCCGGACAAAAGAGCUUUACAACCCGAAGGCCUUCUUCACUCGCGCGGAAUGGCUGGAUCAGGGUUGCCCCCAUUGUCCAAAAUUCCCCACUGCUGCCUCCCGUAGGAGUCUGGGCCGUGUCUCAGUCCCAGUGUGGCUGAUCAUCCUCUCAGACCAGCUACCGAUCAUCGCCUUGGUGGGCUCUUACCCCGCCAACUGCUAAUCGGGCAUCGGCCAACCAAUCGCGUGAGGCCUUGCCGGUCCCCCACUUUCCCCCUCAGGGCCGUAUGCGGUAUUAAUCCGGCUUUCGCCGGGCUACUCCCCCACGACAUGGACAUGUUCCGAUGCAUUACUCACCCGUUCGCCGCUCCGCCGCCAGGUUCGCCCGCGCUGCCGCUCGACUUGCAUGU